CCCUUAGACGUUCUGGGCCGCACGCGCGCUACACUGACCGGUGCAACAAGCAUCCGUCCUUGGCCGACAGGCCCGGGCAAUCUUUGAACGCCGGUCGUGAUGGGGAUAGACUUUUGCAAUUUUUGGUCUUCAACGAGGAAUUCCUAGUAAACGCAAGUCAUCAACUUGCAUUGAUUACGUCCCUGCCCUUUGUACACACCGCCCGUCGCACCUACCGAUUGAAUGGUCCGGUGAAGCCUCGGGAUUGUGGCGAGUUCCCUUUAUUGGGAGUUUGUCGCGAGAACUUGUCUAAACCUUAUCAUUUAGAGGAAGGUGAAGUCGUAACA
rnacentral:rRNA from 1 species